rnacentral:rRNA from 1 species
UUAAGCUAAGAAGAGCGUAGGGAGAAUGCCUUGGCAUUAGGAGCCGAUGAAGGACGUGAUAAGCUGCGAUAAGCUGCGGGGAUCAGCAAGUAUGAAUUGAUCCGCAGAUUUCCGAAUGGAGCAAUCCGUAUGUGUAUGCACAUACAUCAUAUACUGAAUCAAAUAGGUAUAUGAGGGGAACCGCCUGAACUGAAACAUCUAAGUAGGGCGAGGAAGAGAAAUCAACCGAGAUUCUGUGAGUAGUGGCGAGCGAAAGCGGAAGAGGCUAAACCAUAGGUAGCAAUACUUAUGGGGUUUCGGACAGCAUUUAGCAUUGAUAAUUUCUAGUUGAAACGUGUGGGAAAACGUACCGAGGAGUGUGAGAGUCACGUAAGCGAAAGAGAAAGUCAGCGAGCUGUAUCCAAAGUACCGCGGGACACGUGAAACCCCGUGGGAAGAUGGGGGGACCAUCCUCCAAGCCUAAAUACUACCUAAUGACCGAUAGCGAAUAGUACUGUGAAGGAACGGUGAAAAGAACCCCGGGAGGGGAGUGAAAAAGAACCUGAAACCCUAUGCUUACAAGCACCGAGAGCACGUCAAAGUGUGAUCGGGUACCUUUUGUAGAAUGGUCCGGCGAGUUAUUGUAUGCGGCAAGGUUAAGUGCUUAAGGCACGGAGCCGAAGCGAGAGCAAGUCUGAAUAGGGCGAAAGAGUCGUAUGCAAUAGACCCGAAACCGAGUGACCUAUCCAUGUCCAGGCUGAAGUGGAGGUAAAACUCCAUGGAGGGCCGAACACACGUCCGUUGAAAAGGCCGGUGAUGAGGUGUGGAUAGCGGAGAAAUUCCAAUCGAACUCGGAUAUAGCUGGUUCUCUCCGAAAUAGCUUUAGGGCUAGCCUCGUGAAAGAUUACUGGAGGUAAAGCACUGAAUGGGCUAGGGGUCGAAAGAUUACUGAACCCUAUCAAACUAAGAAUGCCAGAUAAUUGAUUCACGGGAGUCAGACAAUGUGAGAUAAGUCUCAUUGUCAAAAGGGAAACAGCCCAGACCCACAGCUAAGGUCCCUAAACAUUGUUAAGUGGAAAAGGAUGUGGGGUUGCAUAAACAACCAGGAUGUUGGCUUAGAAGCAGCCACUCAUUAAAAGAGUGCGUAAUAGCUCACUGGUCGAGUGACCCUGCGCCGAAAAUUCAACGGGGCUAAACAAUGUACCGAAGCUUGGGAUUCUAAAGUAAUUUAGAGUGGUAGGAGAGCGUCGAAUAAGGGGUGAAGUCAGAGCGGAAGCGCUGGUGGACUUUAUUCGAGUGAGAAUGCCGGAAUGAGUAGCGAGAAUUAUGUGAGAAUCAUAAUGGCCGAAAAUCUAAGGUUUCCUGAGGAAGGUUCGUCCGCUCAGGGUAAGCCGGGGGCUAAGGCGAGGCGGAGACGCGUAGCCGAUGCACAUACGGUUGAAAUUCCGUAGCCACCGAAAGAUUUAAGUACAGGGACGCUUUAGAAGUGAUGUAGCCGGGCGAUGGUUGACCCGGUCGUAAGGGAUCGAAAAUGAGUAGAGAAGUCAUCAUGGAAAGAGACAAGAAAAGCUGUAUGAAUAUCUUAGGUGCCCGUACCGCAAACCGACACAGGUAGAUAGGAAGAAGAUUCUAAGGCCAACGGGAGAAGGGUUGUUAAGGAACUCGGCAAGUUGACCCCGUAACUUAGGGAUAAGGGGUGCUCAAGUGAUUGAGCCGCAGAGAAUAGGCCCAGGCGACUGUUUAGCAAAAACACAGGUCUCUGCUAAAUCGAAAGAUGACGUAUAGGGGCUGACACCUGCCCGGUGCCGGAAGGUUAAGAGGAGAUGUGAGAGCAUUGAAUUGAAGCCCCGGUAAACGGCGGCCGUAACUAUAACGGUCCUAAGGUAGCGAAAUUCCUUGUCAGGUAAGUUCUGACCCGCACGAAAGGUGUAACGAUCUGGGCACUGUCUCAACAACCCGCCCGGCGAAAUUGUAGUACCGGUGAAGAUGCCGG